UUAAGUUAACAAGGGCGCAUGGUGAAUGCCUUGGCACUAGGAGCCGAUGAAGGACGGGACUAACACCGAUAUGCUUCGGGGAGCUGUACGUAAGCUAUGAUCCGGAGAUUUCCGAAUGGGGCAACCCAGCAGUUUUAAUCAACUGUUACCACUAGAUGAAUUCAUAGUCUAGCUGGAGGUAAACGCUGUGAACUGAAACAUCUCAUUAGCAGCAGGAAUAUAAAGAAAUUUCGAUUCCCUAAGUAGCGGCGAGCGAACGGGGAACAGCCCAAACCAAAGUGCUUGCACUUUGGGGUUGUAGGACUGAACAUUUGAGUUACCAAAGAACUUGAUAGUCGAAGGAUUUGGGAAAAUCCGCCAUAGAUGGUGAUAGCCCAGUAGAUUAAAUCAAAUUCUCUCAGUUCAGGAUCCUGAGUACGGCGGAACACGUGAAAUUCCGUCGGAAUCCGGGAGGACCAUCUCCCAAGGCUAAAUACUACCUAGUGACCGAUAGUGAACCAGUACCGUGAGGGAAAGGUGAAAAGCACCCCGGGAGGGGAGUGAAAUAGUUCCUGAAACCAUGUGCCUACAAUAAGUCAGAGCGCGUUAAUGCGUGAUGGCGUGCCUUUUGUAGAAUGAACCGGCGAGUUAUGAUCCCGUGCAAGGUUAAGACUAAAAAGUCGGAGCCGUAGCGAAAGCGAGUCUGAAAUGGGCGUUUUGAGUACGAGGUUAUAGACCCGAAACCAGGUGACCUAUCCAUGUCCAGGUUGAAGGUGCGGUAAAACGCACUGGAGGACCGAACCCGUGUAAGUUGAAAAUUGCUGGGAUGAGGUGUGGAUAGCGGUGAAAUUCCAAACGAACUUGGAGAUAGCUGGUUCUCUCCGAAAUAGCUUUAGGGCUAGCCUCGGAAUUAGGAUCAUGGAGGUAGAGCACUAUUUGGACUAGGGGCCCGUCUUGGGUUACUGAAUUCAGAUAAACUCCGAAUGCCAUUGAUUCAUAUCCGGGAGUCAGACGAUGAGUGAUAAGAUCCACCGUCGAAAGGGGAACAGCCCAGACCAUCAGUUAAGGUCCCUAAAUGUAUGCUAAGUGGAAAAGGAUGUGGAGUUGCAUAGACAACUAGGAUGUUGGCUCAGAAGCAGCCACCAUUUAAAGAGUGCGUAAUAGCUCACUAGUCGAGUGAUCCUGCGCCGAAAAUGUACCGGGGCUAAGCAUACUACCGAAACCAUGGAUGCGACCAUUAGGUCGCGUGAUAGGAGAGCGUUCUAAGGGCGGUGAAGCAAGAUCGUGAGGACUUGUGGAGCGCUUAGAAGUGAGAAUGCCGGUAUGAGUAGCGAAAGAUAGGUGAGAAUCCUAUCCACCGAAUGACUAAGGUUUCCUGGGGAAGGCUCGUCCUCCCAGGGUUAGUCGGGACCUAAGUCGAGGCCGAGAGGCGUAGACGAUGGAUAACAGGUUGAGAUUCCUGUACUAGUUAAGUGCGUUUGAGCAAUGGAGGGACGCAGGAGGCUAAGAUGUGCAUUCUGUUGGAUUAGAAUGUCCAAGCAGUAAGUCUUGUGAAGAGUCAAAUGCUUUUCACUUUAAGGACAAGCUGUGAUGGGGAGCGAAAUUUAGUAGCGAAGCGUCUGAUGUCACACUGCCGAGAAAAGCUUCUAGUGAGUACUUAACUACCCGUACCGCAAACCGACACAGGUAGUCGAGGAGAGAAUCCUAAGGUGAGCGAGUGAACUCUCGUUAAGGAACUCGGCAAAAUGACCCCGUAACUUCGGGAGAAGGGGUGCUGAUCGCAAGAUCAGCCGCAGUGAAUAGGCCCAGGCGACUGUUUAUCAAAAACACAGGUCUCUGCAAAAUCGUAAGAUGACGUAUAGGGGCUGACGCCUGCCCGGUGCUGGAAGGUUAAAAGGAUGGGUUAGCUUCGGCGAAGCUCAGAAUUGAAGCCCCAGUAAACGGCGGCCGUAACUAUAACGGUCCUAAGGUAGCGAAAUUCCUUGUCGGGUAAGUUCCGACCCGCACGAAAGGCGUAACGAUCUGGGCACUGUCUCAACGAGAGACUCGGUGAAAUUAUAUUGUCCGUGAAGAUGCGGACUACCCGCGACAGGACGGAAAGACCCCAUGGAGCUUUACUGUAGCUUGAUAUUGAGUGUUUGUACAGCUUGUACAGGAUAGGUAGGAGCCAUAGAAACCGGAACGCUAGUUUCGGUGGAGGCGUUGGUGGGAUACUACCCUCGCUGUAUGACCACUCUAACCCGCACCACUAAUCGUGGUGGGAGACAGUGUCAGGUGGGCAGUUUGACUGGGGCGGUCGCCUCCUAAAAAGUAACGGAGGCGCCCAAAGGUUCCCUCAGAAUGGUUGGAAAUCAUUCACAGAGUGUAAAGGCACAAGGGAGCUUGACUGCGAGACAGACAGGUCGAGCAGGGACGAAAGUCGGGCUUAGUGAUCCGGUGGUACCGUAUGGAAGGGCCAUCGCUCAACGGAUAAAAGCUACCCUGGGGAUAACAGGCUUAUCUCCCCCAAGAGUCCACAUCGACGGGGAGGUUUGGCACCUCGAUGUCGGCUCAUCGCAUCCUGGGGCUGUAGUCGGUCCCAAGGGUUGGGCUGUUCGCCCAUUAAAGCGGUACGCGAGCUGGGUUCAGAACGUCGUGAGACAGUUCGGUCCCUAUCCGUCGCGGGCGUAGGAAAUUUGAGAGGACCUGUCCUUAGUACGAGAGGACCGGGAUGGACAUACCUCUGGUGUACCAGUUGUGCCGCCAGGCGCAUCGCUGGGUAGCUACGUAUGGAUGUGAUAAACGCUGAAAGCAUCUAAGUGUGAAACACACCUCGAGAUGAGAUUUCCCAUUCCUUUAUGGAAGUAAGACCCCUGAAAGAUGAUCAGGUAGAUAGGUUAGAAGUGGCAGUGCGGUGACGCAUGAAGCGGACUAAUACUAAUCGGUCGAGGACUUAACCAA
rnacentral:rRNA from 1 species